rnacentral:rRNA from 2 species
AAACCAACCGGGAUUGCCCCAGUAACGGCGAGCGAAGCGGCAAAAGUCCAAAUUUGAAAUCUGGCGUCCUACGGGCGUCCGAGUUGUAAUUUGAAGAUGGUAACUUUGGGUUUGGCUCUUUCAUAAAGUUUUCUGAACAGGACGUCAUAGAGGGUGAGAAUCCCGUUCAUGGUAAGAUGCCCAUUCCUUUGUAAAGUGCCUUCGAAGAGUCGAGUUGUUUGGGAAUGCAGCUCUAAGUGGGUGGUAAAUUCCAUGUAAGAGUAAAUAUUGGCGAGAGACCGAUAGCGAACAAGUACAGUGAUGGAAAGAUGAAAAGAACUUUGAAAAGAGAGUGAAAAAGUACGUGAAAUUGUUGAAAGGGAAGGGCUUGAAGUCAGACUUUGUAUUCAGUGAUCAACUGUCUUUCGGGACUGUGCACUCGCUGUUUACUGGGCCAACAUCGGUUUUGGCGGCGAGAUAAAUGCAUUGGAACGUGGCUCUAUCUUCGGAUGGAGUGUUAUAGCCUUUGUAAAUAUCGCCUGCUGGGACCGAGGACUGCGCAUCUGCUAGGAUGUUGGCGUAAUGACUUUAAGCCAC